GCCGCGUGGUGGACGAAGCCCUUCGGGGUGUAAACACCUGUCAGCAGGGAAGAUAAUGACGGUACCUGCAGAGGAAGGGACGGCUAACUACGUGCCAGCAGCCGCGGUAAUACGUAGGUCCCGAACGUUG
rnacentral:rRNA from 1 species